rnacentral:rRNA from 1 species
CCCUACGGGGGGCAGCAGUGAGGAAUAUUGGUCAAUGGGCGGAAGCCUGAACCAGCCAAGUCGCGUGAGGGAAUAAGGCCCUACGGGUCGUAAACCUCUUUUGCCGGGGAGCAAGGGCGGGGACGUGUCCCGGCCCGGAGAGUACCCGGAGAAAAAGCAUCGGCUAACUCCGUGCCAGCAGCCGCGGUAAUACGGAGGAUGCGAGCGUUAUCCGGAUUUAUUGGGUUUAAAGGGUGCGCAGGCGGUCUGUUAAGUCAGCGGUCAAAGCCCGGGGCUCAACCCCGGCCCGCCGUUGACACUGGCAG